GUGAACGCGGUGCCGGCAGGCGGGUAAAUACUGGGGGUGCGAGGGUGGUGCGGAAGGACUGGGGGUAAAGGGGGCGUAGGCGGCCGUAUAAUUAGGGGGUGAAAUCCUGCGGCUUAACCGCAGGGCUGCCGUCUAGACGGUCAGGCUUGAGCACGGUAGAGGCGGAUGGAAUUCCCGGUGUAGCGGUGGAAUGCGUAGAGAUCGGGAAGAACAUCAGUGGCGAAGGCGGUCCGCUGGGCCGUUGCUGACGCUGAGGCGCGACAGCGUGGGGAGCAAACAGGAUUAGAUACCCGUGUAGUC
rnacentral:rRNA from 1 species